ACAUUAGGUAACAAAAGAAAGGUCCAAUAAAUUUAUAACAAUGUAGCCGUUUAACUUAACUUAGUGGCUACGUUGUAAACUACAAGCUAAGGGCGGAGCAGGUGCUUGCACCGUAUGUAGUGCGGAACACAUUGUUGUAACUUAACUAUUGUUGUAACUUAACUCCGAUAGUUUCCCUAGGAAACUCGCAGCCCACUUCUAAACGCCUGUGUUAUAGCUUAACAACAACGUAGUAGUAGCCCUUUAUUUUUUUUGCUAAGUAACUUAAUAACGCGUGAGCUUGGUUACCUUGUAACAUAGGGUCUUUGCUAAUUUCAAUGAUGACAAUAAGGCUACGCCCCGGUACCUGCACCGUUGUUGUUUGUAACAUGGGUUUGCCCUGCACGCUCACGGUUGGUAUGACAAUUUUGGCCUUCCUUAACUACAUGGUGCUUUAUUUUUGCCUCCGGUCGUUGGGGGAGAACUACGUUGUAAUUUCCUACUAUAACGUAGUAUGUGGUCCGAUUUUUUUAGCUUUAAACGGAGGCUUACCAUGAGGGCUGAACGUAGCCCCUUAACCUUAAAAUGAAAAUAUGAACGUAGCUUCGGUCGAAGGCUUACUACGUUAGAGCUACUAAGGUUACUCCUUCGGAAAUGAAGUUUAAUUUUGUUAAACAAUAUAAAAAACAAUAUAAAAAAGAACUACGCGUACAUAACAGGUGCUUCGCAUGUUUAAAAUUAGCGACGAUGUUUGAGAGAUGCCUUUUUUUGACUUGGUACUGUGANAACGUCUAUAAGUAUAUAUUAAUUUAGAAAAUAAAAAUUCUAGUAAAUAAUAUAAACUUCUCUUAAUAUUUCUUUAUUUGUUUNNN
rnacentral:lncRNA from 1 species